CCUACGGGAGGCAGCAGUGAGGAAUAUUGGUCAAUGGGCGGAAGCCUGAACCAGCCAAGUAGCGUGCGGGAUGAAGGCCCUACGGGUCGUAAACCGCUUUUGCACGGGGAUAACACCCUCCACUUGUGGAGGUCUGCAGGUACCGUGCGAAUAAGGGCCGGCUAAUUCCGUGCCAGCAGCCGCGGUAAUACGGAGGAUGCGAGCGUUAUCCGGAUUUAUUGGGUUUAAAGGGUGCGCAGGCGGAAGAUCAAGUCAGCGGUAAAAUUGAGAGGCUCAACCUCUUCGAGCCGUUGAAACUGGUUUUCUUGAGUGAGUGAGAAGUAUGCGGAAUGCGUGGUGUAGCGGUGAAAUGCAUAGAUAUCACGCAGAACUCCGAUUGCGAAGGCAGCAUACCGGCGCUCAACUGACGCUCAUGCACGAAAGUGUGGGUAUCGAACAGGAUUAGAUACCCUUGUAGUC
rnacentral:rRNA from 1 species